ACGUAAGGCGCAGGCCAGGGCCGCCCGGCGCUCGGCAGCCGCCUGCAGCCCUCGGAGCGCAAGGAGAGGCGCCCACCCGGUAGCCUUGGCAGGGACUGCCAGAGACUGACAUUGCCUCAAUGUGAAAUGAAAGUUGAAAACCUCAUCUCCUUGUGUGUUGCUAUCAUGGUGUUGAUUCACUGGUCAUGCCUGAAGAGGGAAAUUGUGUUGUAGAGAGCUGACUGCUGCGCGGUCACUGCCUAUCCUCCAUGUUCAGCUCCUCUCCUUUCUGCUGGAGUGAAAUCCUCUCCGGAUACCAACAGAACGUCCACUGUAGAAAAUGCUUUGCAUUUUAAGAAUGUCAGCAACCUAAGUUCAUGCGCCCUGUCUGUACAGUUGUUGUGGAUGGUUUGCCAUCUGAAAGCACCUCAAGUUCUUAUCCAGGCCCUGUGUCUGUUUCUGACAUGUCGCUGCUUCAUGCAUUGGGCCCAGUGCAAACCUGGCUGGGACAAGAGCUGGAGAAAUGUGGCAUUGAUGCCAUGAUUUAUUCACGGUAUAUCCUCAGUCUUCUGCUGCAUGACAGCUAUGACUACGACCUGCAGGAACAGGUGGAAGGGAACAUGUGCCACGGCAUUCGUGUGAAGAUGAGAGGACAACUUGUAGGAGCUGACUCUCCUUUCCACCUUGUAGGUUCCAGGGAUUGAACCCAGGUUGUCAGGCUUAACAGCAGGCAACUUUGAGGAUCAUCUUCUGUCUCUGUCUCAGGCUCACUCCUUCUUGGGGCCUGCCAUCCCACUCAGUCUUGGGUUUGCUCCUGACUCCGAGAUCCUGGCCCUGAACUCAAGCUAGCUUCCUGUCCCAGCCCCCUGGUACCAGUCUGGUGGUCAUCUGAGGCUCACUGUUUUCAGGGAAUGUUAGGCUACUAAUCAUCCAUUCAGAUGUUCACAGAUCAGAGCAUAGCCUAUGUCCUCUCUGCCACCUACUGAUGCACAUGUGACACAGCAGCCACACCUGUAACACUCUGGGGAGGAAGAACAAACUUAUAUUGACAAGAAUCUGGCUUUACCUUUCCAAACUCACACAAAAGCCCUAGAGACAGUUGGCUGCCAUGCCUGCUUAGCUUUUAACUUAGGUUGUGGAAAUCUAAACUCUGGUCCUCACACUUUUCUAGCAAAUGCUUUUUCCACUGAGCAUCUCCCCAGGUGCCAAAAAUACUUUUUUACUUAGCCGUAAGGCAAAGAAUACCAUGGCUUGUAAGGGAAGGUCAAAUAAAAAAACAAUUUUAUUGUUAAAAAAAAAAAAAAAAAAAAAAAAAAAAA
rnacentral:lncRNA from 1 species